UACAGAGUCUGCAAGCGUUAUUCGGAUUCACUGGGCGUAAAGGGUGCGCAGGCGGCCAAGUGUGUGAGGCGUGAAAGCCCGGGGCUUAACCCCGGAAUUGCACCUCAAACUACAUGGCUAGAGCAUUGGAGAGGGUAGCAGAAUUCAUGGUGUAGCAGUGAAAUGCGUAGAUAUCAUGAGGAAUACCAGAGGCGAAGGCGGCUACCUGGACAAUUGCUGACGCUCAGGCACGAAAGCGUGGGGAGCAAAAGGG
rnacentral:rRNA from 1 species